rnacentral:rRNA from 1 species
GGAGGUAGUGACAAUAAAUCACAAUGCGGGACUGUUAGUCUUGCAAUUGGAUUGAGAACAACGUACAACUCUUAUCGAUAAGCCAUUGGAGGGCAAGUCUGGUGCCAGCAGCCGCGGUAAUUCCAGCUCCAAUAGCGUAUAUUAACGUUGUUGCAGUUAAAAAGCUCGUAGUUGAAGUGAGGGAGUGUGUAGUAGGACCGACUUGAUCGGAACUGCUGCAACCUCCCCCUUCCAAUCGGUGUAGUGGGGUAUUCAGUUAUUCUACUACUCCUUUGGUCGUUUACUGUGAGAAAAUUAGAGUGUUCAAAGCGGGCGUUUGUUUGAAUAGAUUAGCAUGGAAUAAUGAUUGAAGGCUUUCGUGUUCGAUUUGAUUGGUUUGUUCAUGGAAGCAAGGUUAAAAGGAACAGUUGGGGGUAUUCAUAUUCACUAGUUAGAGGUGAAAUUCUCGGAUUUAUGGAAGAUGAACAAGUGCGAAAGCA